AGAACGAACGUUGGCGGCGUGGGUUAGGCAUGCAAGUCGAACGUGAAAGGGGAGCUUGCUCCCUGAGUAAAGUGGCGAACGGGUGAGUAACGCGUGGGAAACUUGCCUCAGAGCGGGGAAUAACACUCCUAACGGGGUGCUAAUACCGCAUAACACCGUGAGUGGACAUCCACUUACGGUCAAAGAUGGGGACCGCAAGGCCUGUCACUCUGAGAUGGUCCCGCGUCCGAUUAGCUUGUUGGCGGGGUAACGGCCCACCAAGGCGACGAUCGGUAGCUGGUCUGAGAGGAUGGUCAGCCACACUGGGACUGAGAUACGGCCCAGACUCCUACGGGAGGCAGCAGUCGAGAGGCUUCGGCAAGUCGGGGGAAACCCUGACCGAGCGACGCCGCGUGAGCGAUGAACGGCCCGUUCGGGGUAGUAAAG
rnacentral:rRNA from 1 species